rnacentral:misc_RNA from 1 species
AAGAGUUGCAAAACUCCAACCAUUGUUAACCUUACUGUCAUUUCGUUUCCUCGGCGGGCGGCUUCGCCCUAACCGCGACCCCUUUGCGGGGGGAGCGACCCGCCGGGGGCACUGAAACUCUUAUUAUUAUGGCUUUCUGUGAGUAUACUUUUUAAAUAAGUUUA